rnacentral:rRNA from 1 species
GAUGAACGCUAGCGGCAGGCUUAACACAUGCAAGUCGAGGGGCAGCGCAGUGUAGCAAUACAUGGGCGGCGACCGGCGCACGGGUGCGUAACGCGUAUCCAACCUUCCCGUUACUCAGGGAUAGCCUUCCGAAAGGGAGAUUAAUACCUGAUGGUGUUCAAAUUCCGCAUGUUAUUUGAACUAAAGAUUUAUCGGUAACGGAUGGGGAUGCGUGACAUUAGGUAGAUGGCGGGGUAACGGCCCACCAUGCCUACGAUGUCUAGGGGUUCUGAGAGGAAGGUCCCCCACACUGGAACUGAGACACGGUCCAGACUCCUACGGGAGGCAGCAGUGAGGAAUAUUGGUCAAUGGUCGGAAGACUGAACCAGCCAAGUAGCGUGAAGGAUGAAGGUUCUAUGGAUUGUAAACUUCUUUUAUACGGGAAUAAAACCUCCCACGUGUGGGAGCUUGUAUGUACCGUAUGAAUAAGCAUCGGCUAACUCCGUG